rnacentral:rRNA from 1 species
UACGUAGGGUGCAAGCGUUGUCCGGAAUUAUUGGGCGUAAAGAGCUCGUAGGCGGUUUGUUGCGUCGGCUGUGAAAUCCCGAGGCUCAACCUCGGGUCUGCAGUCGAUACGAGCAAACUAGAGUGUUGCAGGGGAGACUGGAAUUCCUGGUGUAGCGGUGAAAUGCGCAGAUAUCGGGAGGAACACCGGUGGCGAAGGCGGGUCUCUGGGCCGUAACUGACGCUGAGGAGCGAAAGCAUGGGGAGCGAACAGG